GAGGUAAGUCAGCCAUUCCAUUCGGCUGAUUAUUCAACUGCUGGUAGUUUUAUCCAUGAGGUUAGAAAUUUAGAAUUCAUUAUCAUUGCACUGUAGAUGGUUUAAAGGGAAGUACAGUUAAGCAUUUCAAUCUUGAAAAUGUUCUAGUGUGACAUUAACAGGAGUUCGUCAAAAGGCUGGAAAUACGCCCCCCAGUUAUGACGUCAAACUGCAGAUGGUAACUUCACAUAAUCAGUUCUUGUUUAAAUGUUGAAGGUGUUUCAGAAUGGAAAAAAGUGUCAGGAUUGGAUGUUAUCUGGGUUUUUACUAGCCACAAUAUCCAUCACUUCAUGCCAUCCGUUGAAGUAGGCCGGUCAUCAUGGCGGCACAUUUUACCAUCCCACUUCAUUGAAGAAACCCAACAACAUGUCGGAUCACCCAAAAGUUGGAUCAAUUCAAAAGUAAGCUGGAUAACAGAAUAUCUUCCAGGCGGUUCUGCUCUCACGGAAUGGUUCUUUAAUGCCAUCUGGAGACGAGUCAUUCAAACGCAUUCAAAGUCCCUCUUCUUACCUGAUCUCGUUCGGUGGUUCGGUUUUCCCGCAAAUAACCCACACGCUAAAAUGUAUCUCGACAAAAACUCGAGUAAAAAAGAUGAGAAGCAGCACAGCUUGUCUGUUUUUACUUCAUCUUUCAAGCUGUUACGCUGGACCAGUCCGUUCGCUUCGUACGUCUGCAGUGAAAUUACACGAUUUCCUGAUGGCUAACAUCCAAGGAGUUGCUCGCAACGACCAGCCGAGUCAAAUACAAGAUUAUCUUAUUCCAAUUGAAGAGAAUAAUGGAGACCUUUCUGACACCACUAACGAACCUUUCGUAGACCAAUCGGCGUUUCAAGACUUUGACGUUCAAGAACCGGAACGGGUUACCCAUACUUUAACUUACUUCUCUUUGCCUGCUGUUUCUAAUGGUGGGACCGAACAGCCAGCAUUAUCAUUGGAUGCCAACGUCAUCCACAGCGACCUACCCAAUUCAGGUUCUAUUGGAACUGAUAUUCUAUCGGAUGUUCAAGAGCCAACACAGAACCUGGAAGAGCCUCAUUCCGAAAUUGUUGGCGAACAAGAGCCUGUUAUGGAUCAUAUGGUCGUCCAUAAAGAGUGCUGAGUUGCUGACAAGUAAAACCUCUAGCGACCCCAGAAUCGUCUGCUAGCUGAUAAGUUAGCACUUGGAAGAGUUAGCUCUGGACGUGCACUCAUAAUUCAACUUGUGGACUUGUGGUAGACGCAUGAGAGGUUCGUCCAAAGUGAGAAAAGAUGUUUUGAUGCGAUCUGCUGUUCUAUGCCGACCCUGCUGGGUGCGAGGGAUAUACCGCUGUUACGUGCUAACCCUACCCUAUUUUUACUCCUCACUAGGUUGAAAAUACUCCCCCAGUUUUGUCGUCAACCUACUCCAUGUGCUAACAUGACAUCAUCAGUUCUUGUUUCAAUGUGGAAGGAUUACUGUAAAGUAGCUGCCAAGGAGGAUAACAUGUCAGGAUUGGAUGUUAUUAGUUUUCUAGGGGUUUUUCCUUGCCACCAUAUCCGUCACUCCAAACCAUCCAUUGAAGUUGAAGCUGGUCAUCAUGGCGCGAUAUUUUACCACCCCACCCAUCGAACAGACCCAUCGAACAGACCCAUCGAUAGACAUGUCGCCUCAUCCAAAAAUGAGAAGCAGCACAGCUUGCCUGUUCUUACUUCAUCUUUCAAGCUGUUACGCUGGACCGGUCCGUUCGUCUCGUACUACGUUUGCAGUGAAAUUACACGAUGUCCUGGCUAACAUCCAAGGAGUUGCUCGCAACGACCAGCCGAGGCAAAUACAAGAUUAUCUUAUUCCAAUUGAAGAAAAUAAUGGAAACUUUUCUGACGUUUCAAGACUUUGACGUUCAAGAACCUGAAAUAGUUACCGACACUUUAACUUUCUUCUCUUCGCCUGGUGUUUCGGACGGGGCCAGCACUACCAUUGUGGGAUGCCAACGUCAUUCACAGCCACCUACCCAAUUCAGGUUCUAUUGAAACUGAGAUUCUAUCGGAUGUUCAAGAGCCAACACAGAACCUGGAAGAGCCUCAUUCCGAAAUUGUUGGCGAACAAGAGCCUGUUAUGGAUCAUCUGGUUGUCCUACCGAUAGAAACAACUGAUUAGCUCUAUCAUUUACCAACUGUUGCAGCACCUUCUGAUCCAGCGGAGCUUCUUCUAAUGUAUUCACUUGUGCGUGUCCCAACGGCUCCGUCAGCCACAUCCGCUACUGUGGCUGAUUCGCUUCUGGAAAUAAUGUUACCGUCCACGACAGAGAAAGUGGAAAUCAGUUCCUCACCUGAAUCUCUGUAUCAUUCAUCAGCCACUUCUGGACCGGAGCAAUGGAUCAGUGUCGACCCUCUUCCGCUGGAGUUGGAUCCAGCAAAGUCACAGACAACAUCGUCCUCCCUAAUCACCGAUUCCCAGCAGAUUAUCCAAGUUGAUCAACCCAAAUGUCAAUCAAACAUCUCGUACGAGCUCUUCACUACAGACAAUCCAAAUGGAAAAGAGAGCAACUCUUCCGGUCUUCCGUUCGGAACUCAUCGUUCUAAACUGAGGGAGCUGCGCUUUCCUCCUGUAUCAAACACGAAAGAAAAUUUUGGUGUUCAAAUCAAUUGGGAUGAAUUCAUGUAAUUGUGUUUCAAUCUGUCUGUGUGCAUUUUCAAAAUUCUCGCUUAAGCAACGAAAUGGAUGUGUAAACACGUUCAUUUCUAGUACUCACCGGUGUUGGGUCAUAAAGUUUUGCUAGUUGACACGAAUCACAUACUUCUUGAUGAAGUUUUCAUGUGCUAUAGUGUUUGUAGUUUUUCUCCUUAUUGCCUUUGCAAAUAUUAAAUGAGAAUUUUAAAAGA
rnacentral:misc_RNA from 1 species